rnacentral:pre_miRNA from 1 species
AGCUUUCUGUAUCCGUGCUGAGAUUUCGUCAUACACCAGACCACAAGGGCUGAUGAAGCAAUCGAGCUAUGCUGGCU